GCAAUGAAACAGUGUAACAAUGUCAGCUUACAUUACAUGUUCCUGAAUUUCAUUCAAAUAGUUUUUACCCUGCCAACAAAGACCCUUCAAGGAUAACCCCACAAUUGAGCCAGAUUUGAUCAGGUCCAAGUCCAUCAGCACUGCCGACCACUGCUUGCUGUGCUUCAAUAUCAUGAGGGUCACACUGUGACGUCGAGCCCGGGAGGCAGGCCCUGACUAAGGCCUACCACAGGAUUUGCUGCGGCACGCGACAGGGUGCCUCCCAAGAUAAUCGUAAACACUGCCUUUCCAUGCAAUUAAAUGCAAACUCUGGUCAACUUAACCAUGGAAUUUGAGAAAGCUACUGCCAAGCAACUCAAAUGCCAACAGGAGGCAGAUAGCAUGAAGUAAACAAUCUUCCUAACAGAUCCACGGAAUCCUUACAGACGGUGACAGAGUCCUGCUUGCUGACACCACUGGAAAGACUGUAGAGUUGCACUGGCUUCUCUCCUCAGAAGAAAUACGAUCAAGAAGGCAACGUGAGACAAUC